rnacentral:sRNA from 1 species
CUGAGGACCCAGGAAAUGGUGUAUUUCACUAAGUCUCUACAGGCAAGCUGUGAGUCGACCUGUGAAGAAAGACUUGUCCUGGAAGGCUCAUUGAAUUUCAUCAUUUCUGUGCAUGAGAUGGCAAAGGGUUGGCAGUAAGUAGCAUAACUUUUCUCAAUAAUGUACCUUUUUAAGGGUGAUGCUGGCUGAUAGACUAAACUGCCCCACUCAGUAUUCAUCCACGGAACACUCCUAAGUUAGAACUUCAUGAAAUCCAAAUGAGAUUUAAAAUCUACCACUGAAGCCUCAAGAUAUUUAGAACAUUAGGUAAUAGGAAAUUCAACAUGAAGGGUCUUAAUAUAUCGAUGACUUGAUUUCCAUGAGUGACCUCAGUUUCCUAGAUAGCUAAGCUGUUUUUCUAAAUUCAGUUUUUACUCUAGAAUUUUAAAAAACAAAGCACCAACAGCAUAUAAUGGGACCUAAUUAAUUGGUCUAUUUUCUAACAUGCUUUGCACAACGUUAAAUAAUAUUCAGUGUGUUGAGUAUAUAAUCAAACUUUAACAAAGACACAUAAAUAUGCUUCCCAGUAUUCAUUUUUGAAGUAGAUAAAAUAGUUUUGACUUCUAGGAUUUGCUAAACAGGUUAAAUAACAUAAUAUAUUUAAGGUUCUAGAAUAUAUCAUUACGUGUGACGUAAGAAAGAUAUUAAUCGAUGCUAUAUUACUUUUAGACCAGGUGUCUUAGAAGUAUUUAUUGACUAUACAUAACACAAAUAAUGGUUUUUAAUGGUUUGUGCUUAAAAUGGGCAUGUUAAUGACUUUGCAUUCAGUAUCAAAAUAACUAGGUGAUUGACCCAAUUUUCCAUUUUUCAUUGAGUUAAUGUGAUGUUAUAUAAACCCAGCCUAAGUAGACUAUUUAUUCCAAAAUAGUUGAAUGAUGAGCUCACAUAAUUGACCUGAUUUCUACCCACUUACAGUAGUGGUAUAUUUAGACUUGAAUCCAGUUGGUAUUUAGGUACUAGUGACCAUUGAAAAACGUAUCCCAGUCAUCCUUAGCAUUACUUCUCAGCUAUGGGUUCCUAAGAUUGCAAAUAGGUGUGGCUCUUGAAAUUAUUGUCCUAUGUUCUCAGUGUCUGUCUCUCCAAUCUACUCUCCUUUAGCCAUUAGAAAAAAUAAAACCAUGGAAUUUACAACUAUAUGGAUGGAACUAGAAAAAAAUCAUCCUGAGUAGGAUAUCCCAAACCCAGAGAGAAAAUUAUAGUAUGAAUUCACUUAUAUGUAGAUAUUAGAUAUUAAAUCAAUGAUACCCAAGCUAUAAUUUCAUAGAAUCACGAGAUUAUGGACUAAGGGGGAUGGAGAGAUCUCAUUAAUAAAGGGAAAUAGAAUAGAUAGUUAAAAAUGGAUGGGGCUAGAACAGGAAGAUCAAGUAGAGACAUGGCGGGAAGGGACAGAAU